ACACAAAGUCCAUUAAUUUGGGCCCUUGCUUUAUGUAUAACUGUUUUGGAAAAAACAAUUUAUUUGUGUAAAUAACUUACUGGGAGAUACGUGCACAUGAACAAAACUAAUGAUUUAAGAUUGUGGAAAAUUAUUGAGAAAAACUUGGGUUCACCAACCAAUCAAAAAAAUAGUAUAUUAAAUAUAGUCUUUUUCAUAAAAGGAAACAAAAUAUUUUGAAUUUACUUCUUAAAAUAAAUAGAUAAAAAUAAAUAAAAAUAUUAGUAGUUGUAAAAAAAAAAUAUUUUUAAAAAAAUUGUUAAUGCUGUCCACCCUAAACCUUAAAUCAUAAACGCUAAAUCUA
rnacentral:lncRNA from 1 species